CGGAGGAGUAAAGCGAGCAGCCGGCAAGGCGAGCGCUACCUGUCCUCGCAGCGCCUCGCCGUGGCCGCUGCCGGGAGCGGCCUCGUCUGCCCUGCGGCGCUGGAUCCCUGACGCACGGAGCUCGAGAGCGAGAACGAGAGAAAGGGUAGAAAUGGCGGCUCCACUCGGCUCCCGCUGAGGAGGGAGAAGCCGGCGGAGGGUCCGUGCAGCCGGCUUGCAGGAUCGCUCCUGUUCCGCGCUGCCUGCCGCCUCGCGCUGCCUCUGCCUUGCUCGGCCAGGCUUUCGCCUGCCCUCGUCCGCGCUCCGGAGGCUCGGGGCCGGCUCGUCUCCCCGGGCCCGCCUCGGCUCCGCCGGCCCUGAGCGUCCGGCCGGCGGGCCGCCUUCCUCGGCUCUCCGGGCGCAGCGUGGGCCCGGCUCCCGGGCCGGACCAUGGUGAACACCCGGAAGAGCUCCCUGCGGCUGCUCGGCUCCAAGUCUCCUGGGCCCGGGCCUGGGGCCGGAGGAGAGCCUGGGGCGGUCGGAGGCAGCAGCCAUUUCAUCUCCUCUCGGACCCGCUCCUCCAAGACCCGCGCUGCCAGCUGCCCGGCCGCCAAGGCUGGGGGAGGCGGUGGCGCCGGGGUCGCCGCGGAAGAGGCCCGGAAAGCUGAAGUUGAUGGUAGUUUAAGUGACAGCCAUGUAUCUCCUCCAGCCAAACGCACUUUGAAACAACCAGAUUCUGUUUGCAAAGACAAAUCAAAAUCACGAAGUACUGGCCAGCGAGAGGAAUGGAACAUAUCAGCUGGACAGACUAGGUUAACUUCUCAGCCUGGCGCUACAUUACCGAAUGGACAUAGUGGCUUAUCCCUGCGAAGCCACAUCCUCAGAGGGGAGAAGAAGGGGGACGGGGCCCUUUCUUGUAUAAAUCGUGACAGGGAAGUCAGGAAAAGUCGUCGUC
rnacentral:lncRNA from 1 species